rnacentral:rRNA from 1 species
ACUCCUACGGGAGGCAGCAGUAGGGAAUCUUCCGCAAUGGACGAAAGUCUGACGGAGCAACGCCGCGUGAGUGAUGAAGGUUUUCGGAUCGUAAAGCUCUGUUGCCAGGGAAGAACGUCUUAGAGAGUAACUGCUCUAAGAGUGACGGUACCUGAGAAGAAAGCCCCGCUAACUACGUGCCAGCAGCCGCGGUAAUACGUAGGGGCGAAGCGUUGUCCGGAAUUAUUGGGCGUAAAGCGCGCGCAGGCGGCUAUGUAAGUCUGGUGUAUAACCUCAGGGCUCAACCCUGGGUCGCACUGGAAACUGUGUAGCUUGAGUACAGAAGAGGAAAGUGGAAUUCCACGUGUAGCGGUGAAAUGCGUAGAGAUGUGGAGGAACACCAGUGGCGAAGGCGACUUUCUGGGCUGUAACUGACGCUGAGGCGCGAAAGCGUGGGGAGCAAACAGGAUUAGAUACCCUGGUAGACAUC